AUUGAACGCUGGCGGCAGGCCUAACACAUGCAAGUCGAGCGGAUGAAGGGAGCUUGCUCCUGGAUUCAGCGGCGGACGGGUGAGUAAUGCCUAGGAAUCUGCCUGGUAGUGGGGGAUAACGUCCGGAAACGGGCGCUAAUACCGCAUACGUCCUGAGGGAGAAAGUGGGGGAUCUUCGGACCUCACGCUAUCAGAUGAGCCUAGGUCGGAUUAGCUAGUUGGUGGGGUAAAGGCCUACCAAGGCGACGAUCCGUAACUGGUCUGAGAGGAUGAUCAGUCACCCUGGAAAUGAGACACGGUCCAGCCCCCCAGGGGGGGCAGCGGGGGGGAAUUUUGGAAAAUGGGGGAAAGCCUGAACCACCCAUGCCGGGGGGUGGAAGAAGUGUUUGGGUUUGAAAAGCAUUUUAAGUGGGGAGGAAGGGAAGUAAGUUAAAACCUUGCUUUUUUGACGUUACCAAAAAAAAAAGCACCGGCUAACUUCGU
rnacentral:rRNA from 1 species